CACCACCGCCAACCUACUCUC
rnacentral:siRNA from 1 species